GCGGUGGAGCAUGUGGUUAAUUCGACGCAACGCGAAGAACCUUACCUGGGUUUGACAUCCCGAUCGUACUCUAUGGAAACAUAGGGGUCAGUUCGGCUGGAUCGGUGACAGGUGCUGCAUGGCUGUCGUCAGCUCGUGUCGUGAGAUGUUGGGUUAAGUCCCGCAACGAGCGCAACCCUUGUCCUUAGUUGCCACCAUUCAGUUGGGCACUCUAAGGAGACUGCCGGUGUUAAACCGGAGGAAGGUGGGGAUGACGUCAAGUCCUCAUGGCCCUUAUAUCCAGGGCUACACACGUGCUACAAUGGCCGGUACAAAGGGUCGCAAUACCGCGAGGUGGAGCUAAUCCCAAAAAGCCGGUCUCAGUUCGGAUUGGAGUCUGCAACUCGACUACGUGAAGUCGGAAUCGCUAGUAAUCGUGGAUCAGAAUGUCACGGUGAAUACGUUCCCGGGUCUU
rnacentral:rRNA from 1 species